UCACCUAAAAGUUAACCAAAUAGUAAAAAAUCAUAUCUGAUAAUGUAAACACUCUUUACAAUAACAGUGUAUACAAGUUAAAUCCUUACCUCAAGUUGGUCUCCGAGGUUGAUGACAAUGGAGUGGCGCAUUGGUGGAACAUCGAUCCAUUUGUCAUCUUUGAGUAGUUGGAGACCACUGACUUUGUCAUCUUGGAAUAGAAGGAUGAUUCCACCAGCAUCAGUGUGAGCCCUGAGGCCUUUAAUCAAAUCAGGCUUGGGGCAUGGUGGAUAGUUGCUAACUUUGGUGCCAAAAGUAGGACCCUUUGAACCAUAAAAGGCUUUCUUC
rnacentral:lncRNA from 1 species